UUUUACAUUUCCGGUUCAAAGUAAAUGAUUGGGUGUACACUAAAAAUGAAAUCAGUCAUUGGGCCUCCUACAAAAAAAGUGGAAGCAAGCCAUCUGCAAAACUCUAUCUACUCCAACUUCUGAGCCUAAAUUUAGUUCGACUUGUCAAACAAUAAAGUAGUGACUCAACAUUAAAGCUAUGUUUGGUGGGGCUUUUUAGUGAGUUUACUACGUGCAAGUGAACAACAUUUCCAACUGAAGUUUGGUUGAAUUUUUUUUGCAGGCUUCAUGUGUUUGUGAUUUUGUUUGAUGGGUUUAAUUACUCUUCUAUGGUUUUGGUAUUCAUGUGAUUGUAUUUAGUGUUUUAGUUUUGAUGCAAUAAAUUGUAGUUGUCAUUGUUUAGUUACUGAUCAAUUUUUUUAAAAUUCCAUUGUUGUUCUGUUUGUGCUUUCUAGAUUUUAUGCAACAAGGUGUAUGCAUCAUCCUCCAACCGCCGUUCCUUUGCACCUUGAUUGGAAUUAUUUUAACAUUGUCUUCUUCUUUAGCUUUUAUUAUUUAUGACUCCAAUCUGGAAGAAAUUUUUAACUUAGCAAUGAGUCAAGAGAUUGUUGAAGAUGAACUGGAACCUUGUGGUCCAUCUUGGUGAAGCUUAUUCUUAUUACAAAAAUUUGGAAGACAUAUUGCUAUGGAAAGCUUCUAUUGGAACCGAAGAGUAGCCUCUUAAAUGAAGAAGUAUAUGAAUUGUAAUUAAAAGUGAAAAGUUUUUCAAGUAAAUAUCUUGGCGAAUAUGGGUAGAGGUCAUGAAGGGCAGAGCCAUUCAUUGUUUGGUCUAUGAUCCUUAGAGGCAGAGAUCUCUUCUUCUGAGCUGACAAGUACAAUGGAAAAGCUUUCGAGGAACAUGGAGCAGAUUGAGGGUCAAGUUGCUACCGGCCGAGGCUAUACUGUAUAUAAUUAUGGUGAUGGAUGAUGAUAUGCCUAAGGAUAAGGACGAGGAAGAACACGAAGAUGAGGAAGUAGUUUAUAAGGCCACAAUUUUAAUAGUUUGAGUUUACCAAACACUUUGCCGCUUUUGCCACUGACAACUCUUAUAAAAAGCCAGUUUACCAAACACUCAGCUACUUUGCUUUUCAGCCACUUAUUCUCAGAAAUAAGCAGAAGCCAGCUUUUCUGAAAAGCCCAGCCGUACCAAACAUAGCCUAAAGCUCGGCUCUUCGCAAUGGUUGUCCAAAUCAACUUUACACUCUUCGGAGUUUCAGGAUUAAUCAAGCAGUGUGAGGUCCAUUUCAAGUCUCAGUGCCCAAUUGCAAACCUCGGCACGACAGGUGCCCAAAUCAAAUCAGCGGAUAUCAAAUUGGGUGUCCAAAAGAAAUACAUUUGACGGGUUCAAAAAAUAUUUACAUCCGUCGAACACAAAAGUUGGUACAAAACCAAAAAUACAAUUCUUGAACUACAAUGGUUUGAUCCCUUUAUAGGGUAUAUAGGCAAUUUAGCGACCCACUAGAUGCAACCGCAAGUUCAAACAAAAUCUCUGAGACUAGUCAGAUUCUUCCAAUCCGAAUCCUUGACUCCACCAGUCAAAUUCAGCUAGUCCUAAAUUGAAUCACUGACUCCAGUCAAAUUCUCCCAACACCAGAAAUACAAAUUCGUAUGAACUACGGUCGGUUUAAUCCCACAAUGGGUACGUAGGCAAUCUAGUGGCCCACUAGAUGCAACCGCAAAUCCAAACAGAAUCCCUGACUCCCUAGUUCAUCCAAUCUGAAUCCAUGAUCUAAUCAGUCAAAUUCAUCCAAACACCAGAAAAGUCAAAUCAUUCCCAAAAUGUCCUCAGAUAUAAAUCGAAUCUCUGGUUCACUUAUACCAAAUUUAUCCAAACACUAUUCACAUUCCAAAAGCAAUACCCUCCCAUGAGUCAUUCACUCAUUAGAAUUCUUGAACUAUGAGUGGCUUGAUCCCUCUCCAAGGGUACGUAGGCAACCCAUUCAAAUAUCCAGGUACAGCCGCAAAAACAAACAAACACACAUCCACAAUUGGUUUCUUCAUAAAUGGAAUCAAAGGGUGUUUCCCUGUAACAAGGGAUUGUAAUUAAGAGACACAUUUUGUCUUGAAUGGGUCGAAUCCGAAAUAAUUAAAACUCUAUUCACUAAAUGAAUACAAGUGAAAUUAUGUUGGGUGACAUUUUCGCUCACUGUGUGCAAUUUUUACUCAACAGACCUGUUGCCGGUUGAACUGCACCAGUGGCGGCUCUGACAUGGAUGGCAGCGGCUACAUGAAAGUGGCUUCUCGUUGGGUCAUGGCUAGGGCUCUUUCCACACUCAUAGACCAGGGUUUGAUUUUUUUUAGGCCUAGGGUUCAUUGGUGUGGGAUUGGGCUGAAAUUUUAAUUUGUUAUUUUUACUUUUAUUUUUGUUUCUGUAAGUGUCCUUCUCUUUCUAGAAAGGAGUUGCUUAGCUUCUCUUUCUGGAAAGGAGUUGCUUAGCUCCCAGAGUUGAGGAACGACGCUAGGGCCCCUAAAGUAUCUUUGCUAUUUUAUUUCUUCUUAGAUAGUGUAGGGUGUUGCUGGAGGUGCUUACGUUUGUUAGGUUAAAAAGGUUGAAUUGCUUAUUUAAUGGCUCUAUCUGACUGCUCUUACGAGUGGAUCGUUAUGUGUAAUUUUGCUAAACUUCAAUAUUAGUUGACUAUUCCUCUAGAAAAAAAUAAAAAAUACAUAUAUAUAAAUUUUUUUUGGACUAUAUAUAUAUAUAUACAGGCCGGAUUAGAAGCGGACGUCCGCACAGAUGCAAAAGUGCGGAAGUCCAUCCUCAGGUCUUGAUCAGGCGUCGAUGGCCGCACUGUUGUUGCCGGACGGAGAAAAUGGCCAUUCCGGACAGCGUCACCAUCACGGCGAAGGCUCAGUUGAUCGAGGUCGAAGGUUCUGGGCAGCCACCUCACUUGAAACCUCAAUUCCGAUCAAGGUUGACUUCAAACUCCUCAUUGACGAGUCCAGAGGCAAGCACAGGCUCGACAUCGAGGCCUGGUUCGGCUCCGGCAACCGCAGUGCCGCCAACGACUCCUGAUAGUGGCCUGAGGAUGGACGUCCGCACUUUUUCUGUUUUGCGAACGUC